AUGCAAUCUUAUGAAGAAAAACUUGAGUUGAAAGUUUCUAUCCCUAGAAAACUCUAUGAUGAGUGGGUAUCUACUAUUAAAAUUAAAAUUAAAGAUUAUGAGUUUCAUGCUUUGUGUGAUUUGGGUGCUAGUGUCUCUACUAUUCCCAAAACUUUGUGUGAUUUGCUAGAUUUCCGUGACUUUGAUGAUUGCUCUCUAAACUUGCAUCUUGUGGAUUCCACUAUUAAAAAGCCUAUGGGAAGAAUUAAUCAUGUUCUUAUUGUUGCAAAUAGGAACUAUGUGCCCGUAGAUUUUAUCGUUCUUGAUAUAGAUUGCAAUCCUUCAUGUCCUAUUAUUCUUGGUAGACCUUUCCUUAGAAUGAUUGGUGCAAUUAUUGAUAUGAAGGAAUGGAAUAUUAGAUUCCAAUUUCCCUUAAAGAAGAGCAUGGAACACUUCCCUAGAAAGAAAAUAAAAUUACCAUAUGAAUCUAUCAUGAGAGCCACUUAUGGAUUGCCUACCAAAGAUGGCAAUACCUAG
rnacentral:rRNA from 1 species